UACAGAGGGUGCAAGCGUUGUUCGGAAUUAUUGGGCGUAAAGCGCGUGUAGGCGGAUCUGCAAGUCGGGGGUGAAAUCCCGAGGCUCAACCUCGGAACUGCCUUCGAUACUGCGGGUCUCGAGUCCGGGAGAGGUGAGUGGAAUUCCUAGUGUAGAGGUGAAAUGCGUAGAUAUCAGGAGGAACACCGGUGUGUAGACGGCUCACUGGACCGUAACUGACGCUGAGGAGCGAAAGCAUGGGGAGCGAACAGG
rnacentral:rRNA from 1 species